ensembl:lncRNA
GAAGGUGGUGGCUUUUGAGCAUGACGUACAAAAACUCACCUUUGCAGACUCUGACUUCAUGAGCUUUCACCCCUGGACCGAAUGAAAGAGAGAACAAGGAAAAAGAGAGGAAAAUGAACUUGGACACAAAACUCAGCACAUACCUCCAGGUCCUGGACCUCUUGAUAUAGCUUAGUCGUCUCCAGCUGUUCUGUGCUGCAUUACAGGAGUUGGAUAAGAUUCUUUCUCCACCUCUGGUCUCUCUCAUAAGUUUACUUUGGGCCUUUAAGAAUUCACUUCAUCACUACUGGCCAUAGCGCAACUAUACUUUAACUUCCAGCUUUUACCUACAUCCUCUGCUUAGCCAACAGAGAGCAAGGCUGAAGAAUAUUCCCUGACAGGUUCCCAUUUCCCAUGCCAAUUAAAUAAAUUGGCCUUUUCUAUGCUAUGGUGACAGCAGAAUGCAGACUACAAGAGUAGGAGAGGUGUUUGUAUUUUAUUUUAACCAGACAUCCCCAUGAUAAUAAAUCCUACCAGAAGUUACAUCUUUGUUAACUCCCAGAUGUUUUGGAGUAAAUGAGCUGUUUCUCCUAACCAUUUGAAGGCAUUAGGGAUCUCAUCAUCAAUUUUUGAUAUCUUGAGACAUAUACUAGGGACGUGAGAUGAGCAGCCUAAUUCCCAGGCUGCUGAAAUCCAUCUCACUUACUCUUUUGGUUAGAUCUCUUCUGAUUGUGUCAGGCCUAAGUUUUGACUUAAGUGACUAAAGAGUAAAUACUUUUGAACGUACAUAGAUAUCUAAAUCAUUUGACUUCUCUUAAGGUAUCCAAAGCAACUGUAUAGGGCUACUUGAUUUAUAGAGUACCAUACCCUUCUGUAUCAACAUCUGGAAGCCAGAAAGUACAGUUCAAAGCAUCUCAAUGUCUUUAUGUAUCUGCAGGCAUGCUAUUAAACUGAGCAUCUUGUUUACAUAUAGACAUAUACGUGUACAUGCAUAAAUUUGGAUGUGACAGGUUAACUGUGCAAUACAAUACUUUGUUUCAUGUGUAGGUUACUAUGAAAGUAAUGCCUCCUAUUAAUUUCCAUGGAAAUGACAAUAGCUACAAUGAGCACAAUAACACUAUUUGAUAGAGCAAAUUCUCAGCCCAGUACACUAUUUUUUAACACUGUUGCCACCAUUAGCAAUGCAUUUUCACCAACAGUGAACAAGAGCCCUCAUGCCAUACCUGUAAAAUUUGCAUGAUUUUCUGGAAUCUGGCUUGCCUUUCAUGUCAUGUUUACUACUGCUGAAACACACCACCCACCAAUGCACUGUGCUCACAUCCACUAUUUGAUCUCCAUAAAUGUUCACAAGCACUGAUGAAUGUCAAUGGGUGUGAUCUUGAAGGACAUGGAGGAAGGGAGGAAUUCAAUUCCACACCUUUGCUUCAUACAGGCUUCCAUGUGAGAUGCUAUUGUAUCAGACUGUCCCUCUGCUGCCACCUGUUGUACGGCAACAAAAUGUAAUGGAAUAUUGGUGGUAGAUUAAACCUCUACUGCCAUACCACCAGCAUCCACCUCUGAUGUUGUGGACCAACAUAGCAUUAUAGAAUCACUAAGGUUGGAAAAGACCUCCAAGAUCAGACAUAACAAAACAUAACAAAAUAGUAGGCAUUAUUUUUGGUGCAUCCCAUGUAGUUCAAGGCAGCUUAGGAAAUUUUCAUAUUUUUUACUAAUCCUAAUGCUCACCACCACACUCUGUGCUGCUUAUCUUCUUGAACCAGCUGAACUAGUUAGUUUAAAAUCUGCCUCAUUAAAAACCCUGCAGUAAAAGAAAAGGCAAUAUUUUCUUUCUAUUCUUAGAGACAUUUUUUAAUGGCUGCUACUGCAAUUGUUAAAACUUAAUAUUCCAUGAAAAUUUUUAGUGGUAGUAACUUGUGAGCUAGAAUUCACACAGAAGAAGGUUAAAACAGAUUCAAAUCAUAUCAAACAUGUGAAAGUAUUUAGUUUCAAUUAAAUUAAUAAAACUCUAGUUUCUGAUCUUCUUCUCUCCCAAAUUCACAGGUAUUUUUAUAACAUGUAGGCACUUUUCUCACUCUUUCUUUCAUUGUCUAUCUUCAAUAAAUUAUUUACUUACCAUUAAGAAACUGUCAGUCUGUAAAAACAAAACAAGUUGAAAAUUAGAGAAAUUGGUAAAAUCUUAGUUCUUCCCCCCCCCCCCCCCACAUAUGGUUUACAACAGCUUUGUUAAAAGAUAAUAUUUUUUGUUGAGAGGUGCCUAGAAUGACUCACGAAGUAGUCAUCAGUGGUAAUUAUAAUCUGGCAUUUAUUUAGUGAGCUCUUAUUUUCCUAAUCUUCCACGGAAGCUUCUUUAGUCAAGGUCAAAUUCUUUCAGUGUUUUCAUCUACAAGGAGCACGGACAAUUUGCCUUCCCUCUCCUCCAAGUGUUCAAAGACAAUUGGUUUUGUCACUUUCCUAAGCAACCUUCUGAAAUGUGUGGGAAAGGAAACAACCACAAAGAACAUAACUUUUACAUUCAGAGGAGAACAACAUGUCAAAAUUCCUUAAACCAUGAUAAAUGUACCAAAAUCAUCCAGCUCUUUCCAAAUAGCAAUGAGUGAUAGUGAUUUAUGACUGUGGAGAUUUUUCUUAAGCUACUAGUUUCUCUAGAAGAAAGAAAGGUCAUUGUAAGUUAGGGUGUACAUAGCUUAUCUUGUUCUUUGCAGCCUGCCAUUCCCUUUGAACUAGUCCAUGUCAGACUGUAGACCUGUGCUAGAGUACUACCAUUAAUUAUCAUCAUUAUUGUCAUAAAAAUAAGGAAGAAAGGAGCACAUAUGCGCACUCAAAUACUUAACAAGCAUUGUGUUUAUGAACCUCUUGACAUCACCACAUAAGUAAGUCCAAUAGUUCGUAGAAGGAAAAAGCAAAUCCUAACAGGAAAAAGAAAUAGCUGAUUGCUAAGUAGGGAAACAAAAACUGGAUCAAAGAAGGUGAAUGGAAAAAAUUCAGCAAUCUGCACUGUGUUAAAGAGACUGGUCAAUUAUUUACAGGUAACAACAGUCCAAUCCAACAAAUGAUGACAGAAGCUACUGUAUGGGUAGGAAAGUGGAAAUUUUUUUUCUCCAGCAAUUCCUGUUUCUUUACUAUAAUAUCACAGUAAAACUCACUUUUCCAUUGCUCUCCUUAGAGAUUGCCUACCUCCAAUAAGCAAUAGGAUGAAAAGACUUGGCAUGGGCUGAGACUUUGUUUCAUGAAUAUAUCUGAUAGAGACAAUGCAGAAAUCCUGAAGCCUUUGUAACUUUGCUUGUGCAAAAAUUACAUGUAUGAGUAUCAUCCUCAUACCAUGGGUCUGUCCAGCCUAUCAUUUUGGCUUUGGUGAGACAAUACUCAGAUAAGAUGAAUUACCAGAAAACAUGCAGUGAGGCUUCCCCAUAAAACUGACUUUCCAGUAAUUUGUAACAUCCUAAGUAAGAAACAAUCUCAAAUGGAGGCUUCAAUGAGAAUUUAAUGCAAUCUUCUUUCCUGCCUUUCUGCUGUCUAAUGGAAAGGAAUUCCUGCCUCAAAUGGUGUUUAGAAGAGCUGUAUGACUGAGGAAAGACUUAAUCUAUGUCUUCACUUUCUAAGAGUGACUCUUAGAAAUCAAGAAUGAUAUAGCUAAGACCUGAAUCUCAUUACACAAUAACAGAAUAACUAUAGCUUGACUUUAUUUGGAAAUGGUCAGUAGAGGGAUGAUUAAUGUUUCUCAGGGUAAUGUCUCCCAGGGACAAGUCACAUUUCUCGGAGGUUGGUAUUGGGAUCAGUACUAUUUAACAACUUUGUUGUCAACGUGGACAGUGGGAUUAAGUGCACCCUCAGCAAGUUUGCAACUGUCUCCAAGCUGAGUGUUUUGGUCAACACUCUGGAAAGAAGGGAUGCAAUCCAUAGGGACCUUGACCUAUGAAGAAAGGUUGAGAGAGUUGAGGUUUUUCAACUUGGAGAAGAGAAGACUUCAGGUAGAACUUGUACCAGCCUUCCUUCACAUAAACGGGAACUACAGGAAAGCUGGAGAGGGACUCUUUUUCAGACAGUGCAGUAACAGGACAAAGGCUAGUGGUUUUAAGUGGAAAGAGGGAAGAUUUAAAUUAGACAUUAGGAAGAAUUCUUAACUCAGAGUGUGAUGAGGUGCUGGCACAGGCUGCUCAGAGAAUCUGUGGAUGCCCCAACCCUGGAGCUGUUCAAGGCCAGAUUGGAUGGUUCCUCAAAAGGAACCUGACCUAUGGGAGGAGUCUCAUCUCAGAACAGAGAGCUCAUCUUUAAGGUCUCUUCCAACACUAACCAUUCUAAGUUACUAUUUUUCUAUGUUUUUAUGAAAUUCACUUUCUGUAGCACAUAGUACAGGAUGCUGAUGAUUAAAAUAGUUCAAGGAAAGAGAAAAGUAUGGCAGGAGGCUGAAAACUAGGCAGCACUGUCCAGUGCAUUGAUUUUGGCUAAAGAAAUGUGCGGGGCAAACUCCUUAGAAAAAGUGUCACUGUAUGAAUUUGGAUUCAUGAAAACAAAGCAGAUGACUAGCAAGAAAACAAAAAUAGUUCCCAAAUUUUGAAUUAAACCUAAAUUAAAUUAGAAAUAAACCUAAAAAACUUAGUAUAACUUCUACUGGCCUAAACUUUGUUACUGUCUUUUAGCUCUGAAGCUCAUUUAAGAAUGAAGAUCAUGCAAACCUUAUUAAGAUAUCACACUGAAUGAAUCCAAAGUUUACUUGAAGACUUUUGAAACAAAUUUCAUUUCUUUGCCUAUGGAUGCUUGUUUUGUUGUAGAUUGGCUUUGAUUUUAAGCAAGGCUUAAACUCUGACUGAAGCUUUUCUUGUGCUUGGGGCACCUUUACAAGGCUCUGCCCCAUGUAUAUUCCCUGGUAUAUUCCAAGAUUUAUGCUUAUGUUUAUUUUCCCUAUAACCGUGGUGUCUGUAAGACAUCUCACACAUUCAGCCUCCUAUUUGCAUGAAGUUUAAUUAUCUAUGAGGCUUCAGGCUCUUCUGUCGUUCUGGUUAAUGAGCUCAGAAGUUAUUGGCAGUGCAAUGUAUAGACAUACACAAGGUUACUAACACCACCUAAGUUUCAUUUCAGUGGGAAAGCAGCUUAAAAACAGAACAGUUAACUAGAAAACAGAUGGAUGGAUCAUUUACUGUGAGAAAGGCAUGAAGGUCAGAUUUGAACAGAUCGGUUUAAAGGGAUGAUUUCAAAGAGAAAGAGAGCACUUGAGAGCAGAGUUUGAAGCAAAAUAUUUUGUACUCUGCUGUCAGCAGAAAGCGUGAGAUAAUAGAUAUGAAACAGGGAGUGAAAAUGGAGGAAAGGGAUGAGAUAUGGGAGUCCUGAAGGCACCUGAGCAGAAGAAACAUGAUAGUGCAAAUGGAGAUAUGGUGCAUCUGACUGCCUCAGGAGAUGCACUAACUGUAGGAACAUAUUCUUUACAUCAGGAGCUGGUGGGCUGACCCCCAACAGAGCACUGUGGGUUUGGAUCAGCAGGUGGGUGAGCAGAAGACACAAAGAGGGACCUAUCUGUUCUUAAACAGCAGAGCUGACUGAUACCUACACAACUCCUUUUAUGAGGAGGACUAAAAUAGACAGGACUCAGAGAUUUCUUUUUUGUUGUUGUUGUAAGAUUUUGGAUUUUCCCAGGGAAAUUAUUAUUUUUUUUUCCUAUGAAUAAUGCUUUCCUAAUUAUUUUCUUUUCAAACCUUUGGUAGAGAAAACAACAAACAAGCAAAACCCAACAUGUAUUUAUCAUUUUCAUUUCCAGUGUAUCAGAAAAUCUGUGACACAGAAGCAGAUUUUCCCAAUCUUUUCUCUGCUAUGAACAAUUAUUGUGAAUUCCAAAGCAUAUUUGGGGAUGACACCCACCCAAACUCAUCCGACCUUUCUUUAUGAGAAUUCUGGCUACUCAAGUAUGUAGAUUACUCAAAAAAUAAUGUUUCCCAUUUAUUUCUAUGGAAUCUACACAAGAUACGCAGUAACACUAUCUGAUAGAGCAAAUUCUCAGAUACAAAACACUGUUUUUCAAUGUAGUGACCUCCAUCUUGUAUGUAUGUAUCUUGUAUGUAUGCCACUGAUGAGCAAGAGCUUACAUGCCACGCUCAUAAAAAUCUGCACCAGAGGAGGGCACCCAUUGUUUCACAGCUUCUGUGAUGACAUUGUUACUAGGAAAAUGUUGUCCACACAGUCCAUCUUUCAUUGGCAUGAACAGAUGGAAAUCAAAAGAUGCCAAAUCUGGACCAUGUGGUGGCGUGGUUGGAUGGUCCAGCCAAGACUGGCAGUGUGCUCCAGGGUCUUCCAUCUGAUAUGGGUCCUGAUGUCAUUGUGUUGCAGGAUAAGGAUUGUCUGCUUCUCUGGCCUAACUCUAUAUGUGUGAACCUUCAGCUAAGGCAGCAUCAUGACAUAGUGGUCAGAACUGAUGGUUUGUCCAAGUUCCAGGAAAUCCAGAAGGAUCACCAUUUUCUAUCUCAAAAGACAGUGCACAUCACUUUACCCACUGAGGGCUGUCUUGAACUUUUUAUUUGAUGGGGAAUUCACAUGUUGCCACACAUGGACUGCCAUUUUGACUCUGGCUAGUAGUGGUGACAUCAUGUCUUAUCACCAGUACUGAUGUGAUUUAGGAAACUGUCACCUUCAGCAUCAUAUUAUUGGAAUAGAUCCUGGCAAACUUGCAUAUGGUGUUCUUUCUGUUCUUAUGUGAACAUUCAUGGGACCCACCCGGCACAAGCUUUGCAAUACUCUUAACGUUGUCACUAGUGUUUCCAACUCACUGAGGCUGACAUUCAUCUUUGUACAAAGCCCCCAGCAUAAUAAUAAUAAUAAAAGUGGGCCAAGAUAAU